AAAGUAAGGUGUGCUUUUCAAGAAGGAGAAGAGGAAGAGUACAUAAACAUUCUAAAAACAGAAUGGCGAUUAAUCUUUACCAUAGUUAAGGUGUGCUUUUCAAGAAGGAGAAGAGGAAGAGUACAUAAACAUUCUAAAAACAGAAUGGCGAUUAAUCUUUACCAUAGUUAAGAACCUAGAAAAUUGGAAGAGAUGAUGGUUGCUGGUCGUGGCGAGGAAAAUGAAGAUGGAGAAGCUGCUGAGUAUAAGACUUAUGUUGUUAGUAUAAGAAUUUAAUGUUGUUAGUGUAGAUUCUAUGUAAAAUGUAUGUUUUAUGAAUUUAGUGCAAUGUAUAUUUUGGUUGUAAAUCAAUUUGCAGUUUAAAUAUUUCAUCAUAAAAUCACAAGAUAACACAACAACUAAUAUGAUAAAAAAAAAAUGUAAUACUAAUAACAAAUCAGAAAAAAACAAAAAUAAUAUUUUUUACCUCAAGAUCUAAACCCUAAACAUGCCAUAAACCCCAACCCUAAUAUUUUUAACCUCAGGAUAUAUAAAUGUAAAACUAAAGGAUAUAAAUGAUAAUUAAAGUUUCGUAAUAAUAUAUUUAUAUAAUAGUUUAUGGGUGUAUAUAUUUAGUGUAAUAUUACUAUAUGGAGUUUGGUGUACUUAAAACCCUAAACCCCAAAACUUAUAUCGUACUUCAAACUUUAAACUCUAAACUCAAAAUUUUAUUUUUUCACAAUUCACUCUUAAUUUUUUUUUUUUCAAAAAUUAAAUCUAAACCCCCAAACCUAAACUAUAGAUAUACAUAUAUAUACCAUACCCUAAAUUAAUCAUAUAUCAUAAACUCUAACUAAUAAAUUUGAAACUCUAAUCUUCAUUAAAACUCUAACACAGUUUAAAAGGUCCAAAAUUUAUUCAUUUUAAAAAUCUAAUCUUAAAUUUAAAUCCUAAACUUCAAACACUAAAUCUUAAAAUCUACACUCUAUAUUUAAUACCUUAAACCCCCAACCUUAAUCUCUACAUAGAAAAUCAUAAAUCCAAUAUUGACAAACUUAUAAUAGAAACUUUAAAUUUAAACUCCAACUAUAUUCUAAAACUCAAAUCAUAUAUUUAAUCUUAAAUCUUAACCCUAACCCCUAAACCACAUAUCUCAUUUUAACAUAUAUCUUAAAACAUUAAACCUUAAUUUUUAAAUGAAUUAUAUUUCUGUAAAUAAAUUAAAAUUUCAAAUAAAAAAAUUUAGAUUUCAAAAUUUUAAUUAUUAUACCAAAUUAUUUAAAUCUUAAAAAUAAUUUUUAUAAUAGCUAUAAAUAGAUAAGAAGACAAUUUGUAUUGUUUUUUUUAAACCAUUGAUUGAUUUGAAUCAAAUGACCAAAAUCACUCUUGUAUCUAUCCUCACCAUUUUUUCCUUUGGUUAAAAAACGUUGUGUGUGGAUUGAUAAUCUUAAUCAUACAUUAGAUAUUUUGAAGGGUUCAGAUUAAAUCUUUUUGUGUGUUGUUUCUCUCUCUCUCUCCCUCUCUCUGAGGCUUCUUCACUUUCUUCUUCUCUGUUUCCCUCUCUCUCACGCUUCUUCGCUUUCUUCUUCUCUGUUUCUCUCUCUCUCUCUCUCCCUCCCUCUCUCUGAAACAAAGAACAACGAGAUUCAAACCCCGUCUUCGUCUCCACCACAGGUCGUUGUUACAACCACAGUUCCUAAUCUCACAGAUCUUGUCUCUGUAAUCUCUAUCUUCAUCACCACUAAGCCUUGUCACCACCAAACCUCGUCUUCGUCUCCACCACAGUUCAUCGUCGUUACAACCACAGCUCUGCGGGUGUGUUUUAUUUAUUUGGGACAAAGUUCUUAUCGUCUACCGUUAAAUAAAAUGGAGGAGGCUGAAGAAGCUUGGUGGUGGUGGUCUCGCCACCGACUCCAUAUCAGAAAAAGCAUGGCUCGAGACAAGAAGACAAAGGGCUGGUGAUUCAAGAACAGAACAUAACUCGUGCUCUGUUUUUUCUGUGGUGAUGCGACGACAGCACUCUGGAGGCUGAAGGCGGAUGUUCUGGAGGCUGAAGGCGGAUGUUCUGGAGGCUUGAGGCUGGAGGCUAGAGGCGGAGGAACUAGGGUUGUAGGCAGAGGCUUAGAUUUUUUUUUUGUCGACAGGCAGAGGCUUAGAUUAGGUUUAGGUUAAUUAUGUUUUGGUUAAUUAUUUUUUUGUUUAAUGUUUUAAUUUGUUUUUGGUUUAAUUCGUUUUUUAAUUACUUGUAUACUGAUUUUAAUUAAUAAAUAAAAUUUAAUUUUUAA